AUAUGAAUCACCUGGAAAUCUUGUUAAAAUGCAAAUUCUGAUUCAGAAAGUCUAGGCUGGGACUCAAGAUUCUGCAUUUUUGACAAGUUUCCAGGUGAUGCUAAU
rnacentral:pre_miRNA from 2 species